rnacentral:rRNA from 1 species
UAGGUGUGGGGGACAUUCCACGUUUUCCGCGCCGUAGCUAACGCAUUAAGUGCCCCGCCUGGGGAGUACGGCCGCAAGGCUAAAACUCAAAGGAAUUGACGGGGGCCCGCACAAGCGGCGGAGCAUGCGGAUUAAUUCGAUGCAACGCGAAGAACCUUACCAAGGCUUGACAUGGACCGGAUCGCCCUAGAGAUAGGGUUUCCCUUCGGGGCUGGUUCACAGGUGGUGCAUGGUUGUCGUCAGCUCGUGUCGUGAGAUGUUGGGUUAAGUCCCGCAACGAGCGCAACCCUUGUCCUAUGUUGCCAGCACGUAAUGGUGGGGACUCAUGGGAGACUGCCGGGGUCAACUCGGAGGAAGGUGGGGAUGACGUCAAAUCAUCAUGCCCCUUAUGUCUUGGGCUUCACGCAUGCUACAAUGGCCGGUACAGUGGGUUGCGAUACUGUGAGGUGGAGCUAAUCCCUAAAAGCCGGUCUCAGUUCGGAUCGAAGUCUGCAACUCGACUUCGUGAAGUUGGAGUCGCUAGUAAUCGCAGAUCAGCAACGCUGCGGUGAAUACGUUCCCGGGCCUUGUACACACCGCCCGUCAAGUCACGAAAGUUGGUAACACCCGAAGCCCACGGCCCAACCGGUUUUCCGGGGGGAGUGGUCGAAGGUGGGGCUG